GCCUUCAUGGUGUAGUGGUCAGAACUCUCGAAGGGUAAUCGAGAGAUCCGUGGUUCGAUUCCCGGUGAAGCCA
rnacentral:tRNA from 1 species